rnacentral:rRNA from 1 species
ACGACUGCCGGACGCAUGUCUGGUGGUGGAAAGUUUUUUCGGUUGGGGAUGGGCUCGCGGCCUAUCAGUUUGUUGGUGAGGUAAUGGCUCACCAAGACGACGACGGGUAGCCGGCCUGAGAGGGCGACCGGCCACACUGGGACUGAGACACGGCCCAGACUCCUACGGGAGGCAGCAGUGGGGAAUAUUGCACAAUGGGGGAAACCCUGAUGCAGCGACGCAGCGUGCGGGAUGACGGCCUUCGGGUUGUAAACCGCUUUCAGCAGGGAAGAAGCGCAAGUGACGGUACCUGCCAGAAGAAGUACCGGCUAACUACGUGCCAGCAGCCGCGGUAAUACGUAGGGUACGAGCGUUGUCCGGAAUUAUUGGGCGUAAAGAGCUCGUAGGUGGUUGGUCACGUCUGCUGUGGAAACGCAACGCUUAACGUUGCGCGUGCAGUGGGUACGGGCUGACUAGAGUGCAGUAGGGGAGUCUGGAAUUCCUGGUGUAGCGGUGAAAUGCGCAGAUAUCAGGAGGAACACCGGUGGCGAAGGCGGGACUCUGGGCUGUAACUGACACUGAGGAGCGAAAGCAUGGGGAGCGAACAGGAUUAGAUACCCUGGUAGUCCAUGCCGUAAACGUUGGGCACUAGGUGUGGGGGGCAUUCCACGUUCUCCGCGCCGUAGCUAACGCAUUAAGUGCCCCGCCUGGGGAGUACGGUCGCAAGGCUAAAACUCAAAGGAAUUGACGGGGGCCCGCACAAGCGGCGGAGCAUGCGGAUUAAUUCGAUGCAACGCGAAGAACCUUACCAAGGCUUGACAUACACCGGACCGUCCUGGAAACAGGUCCUCUUCUUUGAAGCUGGUGUACAGGUGGUGCAUGGUUGUCGUCAGCUCGUGUCGUGAGAUGUUGGGUUAAGUCCCGCAACGAGCGCAACCCUCGUUCUAUGUUGCCAGCACGUGAUGGUGGGAACUCAUAGGAGACUGCCGGGGUCAACUCGGAGGAAGGUGGGGAUGACGUCAAAUCAUCAUGCCCUUUAUGUCUUGGGCUUCACGCAUGCUACAAUGGCUGGUACAGAGAGAGGCGAACCCGUGAGGGCAAGCGAAUCCCUUAAAGCCAGUCUCAGUUCGGAUCGUAGUCUGCAAUUCGACUAC